UGUGGGAGCGGGCUUGCUCGCGAUUGUUGACUGACAUUCAGUGACUCUGUUGGCUGGUACACCGCUAUCGCGAGCAAGCCCGCUCCCACA
rnacentral:misc_RNA from 1 species